GUCCCCAUCGUCUAGUCUGGCCUAGGACAACAGCUUUUCAAGCUGUCGACAGGGGUUCGAAUCCCCUUGGGGACGCCA
rnacentral:tRNA from 1 species